GACGAACGCUGGCGGCGUGCCUAAUACAUGCAAGUCGAGCGGACGAAUCGAAAGCUUGCUUUUGAUUCGUUAGCGGCGGACGGGUGAGUAACACGUGGGCAACCUGCCCUGUAGACGGGGAUAACACCGAGAAAUCGGUGCUAAUACCGGAUAACACGAAAUGUCGCAUGACGUUUCGUUGAAAGACGGCGCAAGCUGUCGCUACAGGAUGGGCCCGCGGCGCAUUAGCUAGUUUGUGAGGUAACGGCUCACCAAGGCGACGAUGCGUAGCCGACCUGAGAGGGUGAUCGGCCACACUGGGACUGAGACACGGCCCAGACUCCUACGGGAGGCAGCAGUAGGGAAUCUUCCGCAAUGGACGAAAGUCUGACGGAGCAACGCCGCGUGAGCGAAGAAGGCCUUCGGGUCGUAAAGCUCUGUUGUUAGGGAAGAACAAGUAACGCAGUAACUGGCGUUACCGUGACGGUACCUAACGAGAAAGCCACGGCUAACUACGUG
rnacentral:rRNA from 1 species